rnacentral:misc_RNA from 1 species
ACAAUUGAUGCCACGCAGGUCGUGCUGGGAAUUGUUAAGUUUUUUAUUGUUGUCAUUGGUGGCCUUGUUAUUGGGAUUUUAGUUGGUUGUUUAUCAGCUCUGCUCACAAAGUUCACAAACACUGUCAAAGUUGUUGAACCUUUAGCAAUAUUUGGAAUGGCUUAUCUCGCUUUUCUACUUGCUGAAUUAUUUGAGUUUUCUGGAAUUAUAUGUAUUAUUGGAUGUGGCUUGGUACAAGUAGCUUACUCCUUCCAGAAUAUUACUCAAAAAUCCCGAGUAGCAAUCAAGUAUUUCACCAAAGUACUAAGUACUACAUCAGAGAUUAUCAUAUUCCUGUUCCUGGGGCUAGCCCUGGUCACAGAACAUGACUGGCAAACCGGAUUCGUCUUGUGGACCCUGGUGCUCUGUAUAGGUUUCAGAUUUCUAGUUGUCUAUGCCAUAACAUUCUUGAUUAACAAGUUUGACACGUACAGAGUUCGGAAGAUAGGAUACGAUGAAAUGUUUAUCAUGAGUUAUGGUGGGCUUCGUGGAGCCGUCUGCUUCUCGUUGGUUGCGCUACUGGACAAGAAUGAAUUUCCAGAAAAGGACAUGUUUGUCACCACAACGCUGUUUGUGAUCCUAUUCACGGUCUUCUUCCAGGGUGCCACUAUCAAACCCAUUGUAAAUGCCUUACGAGUGAAACUGGCUCCUGAGGACCUAAGUCCAACUAUGUACACAGUUCUUCAUGAAAAGAUAAACGAUCACCUGAUGGCUGGUGUUGAAGAAGUAUUGGGAUACCUUGGAAAGUUCCAGCUUAGAGAAAAAUUUCAUUAUUUUGAUGACCAUUAUGUUCGAAAACUAUUGCUGAAAAAUCCUAAUGGAGAAGAUGGAGCAGAACUAAUAGUAAAUUAUGAGAAACUUGUAAUGAAAGAACAUUUCAAGAAUCUACAUCUUUGUGGAGCUGCUAAUAUGCCAAAAGUUCCCAGUGACCUGAAAAAUGUAGAUAGUACAGCCAUUUUACUGAAAUUAGAAGUUGAUGAAGAUGAGGAUGAAAAGAGUACAGAUAAUGUCCCACAUCGGAGCACAUCCUCGAGCCACCCGAUUUCUAUACAAAUAGGAGGAGAGCAGCCUUCAGCUAAAGACUUUAGGAACAUGUUAAAUGACUCUAUGCGGACUCCGUCAAUGCUGGUUCCAAACAAGAGGUUUGAAGACCAGAUAAAAGAGGCUCCCAAGUUUGAUUUUGAAAACUUGAAAUUCAGACGAAGAUUUAAUAACCGCCUGCAACGAAUGAAAUCCAUAAGGAAGAUGCCAGAAAGAGCACUUUCUUGGGCCGAAAGCGAUUCUGAUCUGUGUCGAGCAAGAUCAAAUAAUCAUAAAGCAGGUCGAGCACAGAAAGCUAUGACAAUGGACUAUUCUCCAAUGGAGGGGGAUAGAAGUUUCGACACUUCAUUAGUGAAUCAAACAAUUCCAGAGGAUGAUGUCUUCGAAAAGGAGCAUAGUGCUGAGGAUAAACCACUUUUGAAGGAUGACACUGACUCUAAAGAACCAAAGCAAGAGGAUCAGAGUACACAGGCAGCCAAAAAACUUACCCAUGAUGCUCUUCACCGCCAGGACGCUGUGGAUAAUAUCCCACUGUCUAACGUCCACGUUCAGAGAGCGAAUUCAGAAUGAUGAUUAAAUAGAUUCCCAAUAUAGCUCUUAUAUACUUAAUGUUAUUUAUGAAAAUACAUCUUGAGAUAUGCUCCAGUGAAAGGAUUUCAAAUAUGAUGUGCAUGCUUGACUUCAUUUUAUAUCAUUUCAGUAGUAAUUAAAGUUUACUAAAUUUUCUGUCAUAUUUAUAGACUAAUGAGAGUUUUAAUGGUUUUUAUUUAUGCAGUAGUGAAUAAGCUCAUAUAAAGUUAUAAUAUAAUGUAGGUCUGCCAAAUUUUCUCAAGGUUUUGCAUUGGAAUUCUCUCUGGGGGUCAUAAAUGAUUUUCAUUUUCAAUAACUUGUUAUGCAACUGAUUGUGUGUGUUGUUUCAAAUCAUGAUAUUUUGAGCAAUUAUUGUUGGCAAUAAAGUACUUAUUGAAAAUAAAACGUUUAUUCAAUAUCCAACGGCUGAUAGAGUUCUAGGUCUCAGCUGAUAUUCUUGAAUUUUGUUUACAACUUUUUUUCUUUUGAUUUUCAUUAUAUUUCAUUAUAUAGUUACUAGUAUAUAGAAACUAGCAUAUUUUAAAAUCAUGUACAGCUUGUGUGCUAGUUAUAAGGCUCAGUUAACAUUCUGGAAUUUUGUUUACAACUUCUUUUGUUUUCUUUGUGUAAUAUUUAUUUUUUUAGAAUUAUUUUCAUUCAGUAGUUAUAUAGAGCCUUGGGUAUUUUAAAAUCAUGUACAGCUUAGGUGCUAGAUACAAUAGUUAUGUGAUGCUAAUUGAUUUUAUAGGUGACAGAUGUAGAAAGUAUAUUUUGUAGAAGUAUUUCUAUUUAUUGUAUUACUUAAACAUAUCCAUAUAUAUACUUGCUGAUGUGUAUCUGGAGAAUUUGGAACUAAAUGAUAUGCAAAAUUGACUUAGAAUAAAUCGUUUAUAUUAAUGUAUGGCAUGCCAUGUAUACAAAGAACUAAACAUAGUUUCACACUUGAUAAAUAAGUUUAUGGACUGUAAACCUUUGUUUACAAAUCGUAAACUAUAGUUAAAUAUUCGUUAGCUCUAGUUUUCAUCUGUAAAACAAUAUCUAAUGGGUGUAAGCUGUAGAUUACAAAAGCUUUUCUAAGUUAUCUUUCUAUAGAUAAACGUUAACAGUAGAUUUUGCUGAUAAAUAAAGAUUCAC